AGUGAACGCUGGCGGUAGGCCUAACACAUGCAAGUCGAACGGCAGCACAGGAGAGCUUGCUCUCUGGGUGGCGAGUGGCGGACGGGUGAGGAAUACAUCGGAAUCUACCUUUUCGUGGGGGAUAACGUAGGGAAACUUACGCUAAUACCGCAUACGACCUUCGGGUGAAAGCAGGGGACCUACGGGCCUUGCGCGGAUAGAUGAGCCGAUGUCGGAUUAGCUAGUUGGCGGGGUAAAGGCCCACCAAGGCGACGAUCCGUAGCUGGUCUGAGAGGAUGAUCGGCCACACUGGAACGGGGACACGGUCCAGACUCCUACGGGAGGCAGCAGUGGGGAAUAUUGGACAAUGGGCGCAAGCCUGAUCCAGCCAUACCGCGUGGGUGAAGAAGGCCUUCGGGUUGUAAAGCCCUUUUGUUGGGAAAGAAAAGCAGCCAGUUAAUACCUGGUUGUUCUGACGGUACCCAAAGAAUAAGCACCGGCUAACUUCGUGCCAGCCGCCGCCGUAACAC
rnacentral:rRNA from 1 species